CAGGCUCCACCAAAAACUGCUGGAGCUGUUACCUUACAGUUACUAGUUCCCUUUCUUUCUCUUUCUUUCUUUCUUUCUUUCUUUCUUUCUUUCUUUCUUUCUUUCUUUCUUUCUUUCUUUCUUUCUUUCUUCUUCUUUCUUUCUUUUUCUUUCCUCCUCCUUCUUUUUCUUUUUUUUCUCUUUCUUUCUUUCCUUCUUUCUUUCUUUCCUCCUUCCUUCCUCCCUUUCUUUUUUUCUUUUUUCUUUUUCUUCCUUCCUUUCUUUUUUUUUUCUUUUUCUUUUUCUUUCUUCCUUCCUUCCUUUUUCUUUCUUUCUUUCUUCUUUUCUUUCUUUCUCUUUCUUUCUUUCGUUCUUUCUUUCUUCCUUCCUUCCUUCCUUUCUUUUUUCUUUUUCUUCCUUCCUUCCUUCCUUCUUUUUCUUUUUUCUUUUUCUCUUUCUUUCUUUUUUCUUUUUCUUUCUUUCUUUCCUCCUUCCUUCCUUCCUUUCUUUUUUCUUUUUUCUUUUUCUUUCUUCCUUCCUUCCUUUCUUUUUUCUUUUUCUUUCUUUCUUCUUUUCUUUCUUUCUCUUUCUUCUUUUCUUUUUUCCUCCUUCCUUCCUUCCUUUCUUUUUUUUCUUUCUUUCUUUUUCUUUUCCUUUCUUUUUUCUUUUCUUUCUUUCUUUCUUCUUUCUUCUUCCUUUUUUCUUUUUCUUUUCUUUCUUCUUCCUUCCUUCCUUUCUUUUUUCUUCUUUCUUUCUUUCUUUCUUUCUUUCUUUCGUUCUUUCUUUCUUUUUUCUUUCUUUCUUUCCUCCUUCCUUUUUUCUUUUUCUUUUCUUUCUUCUUUCUUUCUUUCUUUCUUUCUUUCUUUCUUUUUUCUUUUUCUUUUCUUUCUUUCCUCCUUCCUUCCUUCCUUCCUUUUUUCUUUUCUUUUUCUUUUCUUUUCUUCUUUCUUCUUUCUUUCUUCUUCUUUCUUUCUUUCCUCCUUCCUUCCUUCCUUUCUUUUUCUUUUUCUUUCUUCUUUCUUCCUUCCUUCCUUUUUUCUUUUUUCUUUUUCUCUUUCUUUCUUCUUCUUUCUUCCUUUUUUCUUUUCUUCUUUCUUUCCUCCUUCCUUCCUUUCUUUUUCUUUUCUUUCUUUCUUCCUUCCUUCCUUCUUUUUCUUUUUCUCUUUCUUUCUUUCUUUCUUUCUUCCUUUUUUCUUUUUCUUUCUUUCUUUCCUCCUUCCUCCUUCCUUUUUUCUUUUUCUUUUUCUUCCUUCCUUCUUCCUUUCUUUUUUUCUUUUUUUCUUUUUUUCUUCCUUCCUUCCUUUUUUCUUUUUCUUUUCUUUUCUUCUUUCUUCUUUCUUUCUUUCUUUUUCUUUCUUUCUCUUUCUUUCUUUCUUUCUUUCUUCUUCCUUCCUUUUUUCUUUUUCUUUCUUUCUUUCUUUCCUCCUUCCUUUCUUUUUUUCUUUUUCUCUUUCUUUCUUUCUUCCUUUUUUCUUUUUCUUUCUUUCUUUCCUCCUUCCUUCCUUCCUUUUCUUUCUUUCUUUCUUUCUUUCUUCCUUUUUUCUUUUUCUUUCUUUCUUCUUUCUUUCUUUCCUCCUUCCUUCCUUCCUUCCUUCCUUCCUUCCUUCCUUCCUUUCAAGAAGAUCCAAGAUCUACCCUUAUAGCAAAUUUCAACUACAUAGUACAACAUCAUCAAUUAUAGUCACAUCAUUGUACACUGAUUCCCCAGAACUCAUUUAUCUUACAUAA
ensembl:lncRNA